UGGAGGCAGCAGUAGGGAAUCUUGCGCAAUGGGCGAAAGCCUGACGCAGCAACGCCGCGUGAGUGAUGAAGGUCUUCGGAUCGUAAAGCUCUGUCGGCAGGAAAGAUGGGGAACGUGGCCAAUAUCCACGGGCCCUGACGGUACCUGCAAAGGAAGCACCGGCUAACUCUGUGCCAGCAGCCGCGGUAAGACAGAGGGUGCAAGCGUUGUUCGGAAUCAUUGGGCGUAAAGGGCGCGUAGGCGGCACCGUAAGUCACGUGUGAAAUCCCAGGGCUUAACCCUGGAAGUGCGCGUGAUACUGCGGAGCUUGAGUCUCGGAGAGGAUAGUGGAAUUCCCAGUGUAGAGGUGAAAUUCGUAGAUAUUGGGAGGAAUACCGGUGGCGAAGGCGACUAUCUGGACGAAGACUGACGCUGAGGCGCGAAAGCGUGGGGAGCAAACAGGAUUAGAUACCCGAGU
rnacentral:rRNA from 1 species